GAUGAACGCUGGCGGCGUGCCUAAUACAUGCAAGUCGAGCGAACGGACGAGAAGCUUGCUUCUCUGAUGUUAGCGGCGGACGGGUGAGUAACACGUGGAUAACCUACCUAUAAGACUGGGAUAACUUCGGGAAACCGGAGCUAAUACCGGAUGAUAUUUUGAACCGCAUGGUCAAAAGUGAAAGACGGUCUUGCUGUCACUUAUAGAUGGAUCCGCGCUGCAUUAGCUAGUUGGUAAGGUAACGGCUUACCAAGGCAACGAUGCAUAGCCGACCUGAGAGGGUGAUCGGCCACACUGGAACUGAGACACGGUCCAGACUCCUACGGGAGGCAGCAGUAGGGAAUCUUCCGCAAUGGGCGAAAGCCUGACGGAGCAACGCCGCGUGAGUGAUGAAGGUCUUCGGAUCGUAAAACUCUGUUAUUAGGGAAGAACAUAUGUGUAAGUAACUGUGCACAUCUUGACGGUACCUAAUCAGAAAGCCACGGCUAACUACGUG
rnacentral:rRNA from 1 species